GUCUGUUUGGAGGUAUAAAAAGUCUGGCCUGCCCACUGAUAAUUUUUUUAAAGGGCCGCGGUAAUUUGACCGUGCAAAGGUAGCAUAAUCGUUAGUUUUUUAAUUGGAAUCUUGUAUGAAUGGUUGAACAAAAGAAUGACUGUCUCUAUAUUUUUUUUUGAAUUUAACUUUUAAGUGAAAAGGCUUGAAUGUUUUAAAAAGACGAUAAGACCCUGUAAAGCUUGAUGAGUUUUAUUAUUUAAUUAAAUUAGUAGUUGUAUAAAAAUUUAAUAAGAGCAAUUUAUUUUAUUGGGGCGAUAAUGAUAAAAUGUGUUUAACUGUUAAUAAAUAAAAGACAAAAUUUAGUGUGUAGGCGCAAUAAAUGAUCCUUAAAUUAAGAUUAAGAGUUUAAGUUACUUCAGGGAUAACAGCGUUAUUUUUCUUGAGAGUCCAUAUCGAAAGAAAAGUUUGCGACCUCGAUGUUGAAUUAAAAUUUCUAUAUAAUUGCAGAAGUUAUAUUAGAGGGUCUGUUCGACCCUUAAAUUUUUACAUGAUUUGAGUUCAGACCGGCGUAAG
rnacentral:rRNA from 1 species